rnacentral:rRNA from 1 species
AUUGAACGCUGGCGGCAUGCUUUACACAUGCAAGUCGAACGGUAACAGGCCGCAAGGUGCUGACGAGUGGCGAACGGGUGAGUAAUGCAUCGGAACGUGCCCAGUCGUGGGGGAUAACUACUCGAAAGAGUAGCUAAUACCGCAUACGAUCUAUGGGUGAAAGCGGGGGACCGUAAGGCCUCGCGCGAUUGGAGCGGCCGAUGUCAGAUUAGCUAGUUGGUGGGGUAAAGGCUCACCAAGCCAACGAUUUGUAGCUGGUCUGAGAGGACGACCAGCCACACUGGGACUGAGACACGGCCCAGACUCCUACGGGAGGCAGCAGUGGGGAAUCUUGGACAAUGGGCGCAAGCCUGAUCCAGCAAUGCCGCGUGCAUGAAGAAGGCCUUCGGGUUGUAAAAUGCUUUUGUACGGAACGAAACGGCUCUGGUUAAUACCCGGGGCUAAUGACGGUACCGUAAGAAUAAGCACCGGCUAACUACGUG